CAGUAAAUAGUUUAAAAAAUAUUAAUUUUGGGGAUUGAAGAUAGGAAAUAUUCCUUUUACUGA
rnacentral:tRNA from 1 species